CCUACGGGAGGCAGCAGUGGGGAAUAUUGGGCAAUGGACGCAAGUCUGACCCAGCAACGCCGCGUGAAGGAAGAAGGCUUUCGGGUUGUAAACUUCUUUUAAGGGGGAAGAGCAGAAGACGGUACCCCUUGAAUAAGCCACGGCUAACUACGUGCCAGCAGCCGCGGUAAUACGUAGGUGGCCAGCGUUGUACGGAUUUACUGGGUGUAAAGGGCGUGCAGCCGGUGAGACAAGUCAGAUGUGAAAUCCACGGGCUCAACCCGUGAACUGCAUUUGAAACUGUUUCCCUUGAGUGUCGGAGAGGUAGUCGGAAUUCCUUGUGUAGCGGUGAAAUGCGUAGAUAUAAGGAAGAACACCAGUGGCGAAGGCAGAUUACUGGACGAUAACUGACGGUGAGGCGCGAAAGCGUGGGGAGCAAACAGGAUUAGAUACCCUGGUAGUC
rnacentral:rRNA from 1 species